rnacentral:rRNA from 1 species
UACAGAGGUCUCAAGCGUUGUUCGGAUUCAUUGGGCGUAAAGGGCGCGUAGGCUGCGGGGCAAGUCGGGUGUGAAAUCUCAGAGCUCAACUCUGAAACUGCACUCGAUACUGCUUUGCUCGAGGACUGGAGAGGAGAUUGGAAUUCACGGUGUAGCGGUGAAAUGCGUAGAUAUCAGGAGGAACACCUGCGGUGUAGACGGCUUACUGGACCAUAACUGACGCUGAGGCACGAAAGCGUGGGUAGCAAACAGG